AUUGAACGCUGGCGGCAUGCCUUACACAUGCAAGUCGAACGGCAGCACGGGAGCAAUCCUGGUGGCGAGUGGCGAACGGGUGAGUAAUAUAUCGGAACGUGCCCAGUCGUGGGGGAUAACGUAGCGAAAGCUACGCUAAUACCGCAUACGAUCUAUGGAUGAAAGCGGGGGAUCGCAAGACCUCGCGCGAUUGGAGCGGCCGAUAUCAGAUUAGGUAGUUGGUGAGGUAAAGGCUCGCCAAGCCGACGAUCUGUAGCUGGUCUGAGAGGACGACCAGCCACACUGGGACUGAGACACGGCCCAGACUCCUACGGGAGGCAGCAGUGGGGAAUUUUUGGACAAUGGGCGCAAGCCUGAUCCAGCAAUGCCGCGUGCAGGAUGAAGGCC
rnacentral:rRNA from 1 species